rnacentral:rRNA from 1 species
AACGAACGCUGGCGGCAGGCCUAACACAUGCCAGUCGAGCGCGCCCUUCGGGGUGGGCGGCGGACGGGUGAGUAACGCGUGGGAACGUGCCCUUUUCUACGGAAUAGCCUCGGGAAACUGAGAGUAAUACCGUAUACGCCCUUUGGGGGAAAGAUUUAUCGGAAAAGGAUCGGCCCGCGUUGGAUUAGGUAGUUGGUGGGGUAAUGGCCUACCAAGCCGACGAUCCAUAGCUGGUUUGAGAGGAUGAUCAGCCACACUGGGACUGAGACACGGCCCAGACUCCUACGGGAGGCAGCAGUGGGGAAUCUUAGACAAUGGGGGCAACCCUGAUCUAGCCAUGCCGCGUGAGUGAUGAAGGCCUUAGGGUUGUAAAGCUCUUUCAGCUGGGAAGAUAAUGACGGUACCAGCAGAAGAAGCCCCGGCUAACUCCGUG